GCCCCAGUGGCCUAAUGGAUAAGGCACUGGCCUCCUAAGCAAGGAUUGUGGGUUCAAGUCCCACCUGGGGUA
rnacentral:tRNA from 1 species